AACGCGCAGCGAAAGGUGCUUGCACCUUUCAAGCGAGUGGCGAACGGGUGAGUAACACGUGGAUAACCUGCCUCAAGGCUGGGGAUAACAUUUGGAAACAGAUGCUAAUACCGAAUAAAACUUAGUAUCGCAUGAUACAAAGUUAAAAGGCGCUACGGCGUCACCUAGAGAUGGAUCCGCGGUGCAUUAGUUAGUUGGUGGGGUAAAGGCUUACCAAGACGAUGAUGCAUAGCCGAGUUGAGAGACUGAUCGGCCACAUUGGGACUGAGACACGGCCCAAACUCCUACGGGAGGCUGCAGUAGGGAAUCUUCCACAAUGGGCGCAAGCCUGAUGGAGCAACGCCGCGUGUGUGAUGAAGGCUUUCGGGUCGUAAAGCACUGUUGUAUGGGAAGAAAUGCUAAAAUAGGGAAUGAUUUUAGUUUGACGGUACCAUACCAGAAAGGGACGGCUAAAUACGUGCCAGCAGCCGCGGUAAUACGUAUGUCCCGAGCGUUAUCCGGAUUUAUUGGGCGUAAAGCGAGCGCAGACGGUUGAUUAAGUCUGAUGUGAAAGCCCGGAGCUCAACUCCGGAAUGGCAUUGGAAACUGGUUAACUUGAGUGUUGUAGAGGUAAGUGGAACUCCAUGUGUAGCGGUGGAAUGCGUAGAUAUAUGGAAGAACACCAGUGGCGAAGGCGGCUUACUGGACAACAACUGACGUUGAGGCUCGAAAGUGUGGGUAGCAAACAGGAUUAGAUACCCUGGUAGU
rnacentral:rRNA from 1 species